rnacentral:rRNA from 1 species
CGCCUGUUUAUCAAAAACAUCUUUUCUUGUUAGUUUUUGAAGUAUGGCCUGCCCGCUGACAUUUGGUGUUGAAGGGCCGCGGUAUUUUGACCGUGCAAAGGUAGCAUAAUCAUUAGUUCUUUAAUUGUGAUCUGGAAUGAAUGGCUUGACGAGGCACGGGCUGUCUUAGUGUUGAAUGUUUUAUUGAAUUUGGUCUUUGAGUUAAAAUUCUUAGAUGUUUUUGUGGGAAGAGAAGACCCUAUAGAGUUUGACAUUUGGUUUAUUUACUUGUUUGUUGUUUGUUUAUUUUUGGUGAGUGGGCUUUUUGUCUUGUUGGGGUGAUGGGAGGAAUGUACUUAACUCCUCUUAGUUUUGGUUAUAUUGAUUUAUAAUUGUUUGAUCCAUUUAUUUUGAUUAUAAGACUAAAUUACCUUAGGGAUAACAGCGU